GACGGAGGGUGCUAGCGUUGUUCGGAAUCACUGGGCGUAAAGGGCGCGUAGGCGGCCGCCCGCGUCGGACGUGAAAGCCCGGGGCUCAACCCCGGAACGGCGUCCGAUACGGGGCGGCUCGAGGCCGGGAGAGGGGGGUGGAAUACCCAGUGUAGAGGUGAAAUUCGUAGAUAUUGGGUGGAACACCGGUGGCGAAAAGCGGCCCCCUGGCCCGGUCCUGACGCUGAGGCGCGAAAGCGUGGGGAGCAAACAGG
rnacentral:rRNA from 1 species